GGGCAGGAAUGAUUUUUUCAGGCAACUUCGUACACUCAAAUUCCCAGAAUGAGAGCCAGAACUUGAGGUUCAUAUCACGAUUCUUUAAAAGCAAAGGGCCUUUUCAUUCUGAAAAAUGCUUCUCAUCAUCCAAGAAAACAUAUUUUUACAAUAGAAAUUAAUGCCUUAAAAUAUAGUUAGGACUAGAUCUGACUCUGCAAAAAAGAAAGAACGACCAUCCGUAUGCUGACACUGGUUAGUCUGUCACAAUCUUACAAUAUACAGUAAGUCAUGACCUACAUACAAACCUUCAAGCUGCGAACUUUCAAAGAUGGGAACGUGCCUGCCAGCCCCUGUAUGCCAACUGUUGUACUGCACUACUGACUUUUCAAGGCUUACAAGAGAAUUCAGAGGAGAAGUAGCCUGGAGAGGACUGCUGCUUGCCUGCUGUAGCACGGCUGUAUCCACACCAGAACAAAUGCAUGCACUCAACACGAAAUAAGAAAGUUGCAGAACAGAAAAUGACAGUUGUCUUGUUGGAGGUUUAUAGGAACAUUGCAACCUGACCUACGUGGACGGCUGCAAGAACAAAGGAUUCCAGCACCAAGAAGUCUGCAACAACCAGCCACACUCCCUCCCCAUUUAGUAUGAAAGAAGCCUGAAUUCUAACUCCGAUAAGAUGGUUCUUUGGGACACCAGCCCAACAACUUUUUGGUCUUCGCGUCUUUCCAAAUGAAGUCACUAUUUCUUGCCGCAAUACCUCAUCUCUCAAUUCAUUGGCCUGUCAUGUGGCACGCAGCACAAGCUUGGACGCGGUAACAAUAAAAUUUUUAAGCAAUAGCACCUAUCCCACACAGUAGAUUAGAGCAUUCCCUCAUUCCCUCAGGUAUAGAGUAAGUGAUGGGGCAAAGAAACAAAAAACAUUCUUAUGGAUUUACAAGAAUGAAGUAAGUUUGGAAUCGCUUCAUGGAAAAUAUUUUUCCAUAAACUAAAUAAGCUGACUGAGUAUAGGACUGUCAGCAACCUUGAUGGCUCCAUUGGGAAUGAAAACCACAAUUUUUAUAUAACGGUGCAAAACUACGUAGCUGUGUGGUUUUCUCCAU